rnacentral:misc_RNA from 1 species
AAUCAUCAAAGCCUUUCUAGUUUUGCGACUGGUUGGGACUUUGGACUUGGGAGUGCUGUCGGCCCUUGUGGUCGACUCUCCUCAAAAGCAUUAGCCGGUAAAAGCUCUUUGCAUAACUGGACGCAUGGCGUGAUAACUAUCAAUGCCCCGUCUCGGUGAAGCAACCUAGUCAUGGGCGACCUCCGCUUCUAAUCGUCCCUUGGGACAACUCUUUGACC